AAAACAACGAUGAUGGGGAAUAGUAGGCAUUCAUUUAGCUGGUGCAGAGAGCCGCCGGGUGGUGCGAGGCGGUCGAGGCGAUACGUUGAACUGCCCCCUGAGUUGCCGACCGAAAUCAUUGGGAAAGUAGGCUCGGACGGGAACUUCCGCCGUUAAAAGGAAGGGGAUAUCGGAUUAUUAAUACAAUGAUCUCGUAUCUUACCAAGCGAGCGGCAAAAUGCCGUUAAUUUGAGUGGUACCGCGGAGUAUUAACCUUCGUCUCAUUU
rnacentral:ncRNA from 1 species